GUAAUACUUCCUCCGUCUUAAUUUUUUUUGUCUUAGAUUUGUCUAGAUAUGAAUAUAUCUAGUCAGUUCUGGUAUUUAGGUACAUUCAUUUUUAGACAAACCUAAGACAAGAAUUUUGGGACGGGGGAAGUAGAAA
rnacentral:pre_miRNA from 1 species